rnacentral:rRNA from 1 species
ACGCUGGCGGCGUGCCUAAUACAUGCAAGUAGAACGCUGAAGCUUGGUGCUUGCACCGAGCGGAAGAGUUGCGAACGGGUGAGUAACGCGUAGGUAACCUGCCUCUUAGCGGGGGAUAACUAUUGGAAACGAUAGCUAAUACCGCAUAAAAGUCGGCAUUGCAUGAUGUUGACUUGAAAGGUGCAACUGCAUCACUAAGAGAUGGACCUGCGUUGUAUUAGCUAGUUGGUGAGGUAACGGCUCACCAAGGCGACGAUACAUAGCCGACCUGAGAGGGUGAUCGGCCACACUGGGACUGAGACACGGCCCAGACUCCUACGGGAGGCAGCAGUAGGGAAUCUUCGGCAAUGGACGGAAGUCUGACCGAGCAACGCCGCGUGAGUGAAGAAGGUUUUCGGAUCGUAAAGCUCUGUUGUAAGAGAAGAACGAGUGUGAGAGUGGAAAGUUCACACUGUGACGGUAACUUACCAGAAAGGGACGGCUAACUACGUGCCAGCAGCCGCGGUAAUACGUAGGUCCCGAGCGUUAUCCGGAUUUAUUGGGCGUAAAGCGAGCGCAGGCGGUUAGAUAAGUCUGAAGUUAAAGGCUGUGGCUUAACCAUAGUACGCUUUGGAAACUGUUUAACUUGAGUGCAGAAGGGGAGAGUGGAAUUCCAUGUGUAGCGGUGAAAUGCGUAGAUAUAUGGAGGAACACCGGUGGCGAAAGCGGCUCUCUGGUCUGUAACUGACGCUGAGGCUCGAAAGCGUGGGGAGCAAACAGGAUUAGAUACCCUGGUAGUCCACGCCGUAAACGAUGAGUGCUAGGUGUUGGGUCCUUUCCGGGACUCGGUGCCGCAGCUAACGCAUUAAGCACUCCGCCUGGGGAGUACGACCGCAAGGUUGAAACUCAAAGGAAUUGACGGGGGCCCGCACA